rnacentral:rRNA from 1 species
AGUACCCGCUGAACUUAAGCAUCUCAUUAAGCGGAGGAAAAGAAACUAACUAGGAUUCCCUUACUAAAGGCGAUCGAAGAGGGAAAAGCUCGAUAACUUAAUCCCGCAAGGGAGAUGUAGUUAGGCUAUCUUUACAACGCCGGCAAGUGGUCUGGAAAUGGCCUUGCGAUACAGAGUUCAAGCCUCGUACAUACGGCAUGUAAGCACGUUAGCCUUUAGAGAGUCGGGUAGCUUGAGAUUGCUGCCUUAAGACGGGUGGUAUGCCCCAUCCAAAGCUAAAUAUUGUAAGGAGACCGAUAGAGUACAAGUAGUGUGAACGAACGAUGAAAAGAAUUCUACGACAGAGAGUGCAACAGUACCUGAACUUGUCUAGGGUAAGGCAUCUAAGAUGCGCCCGUCUUGAAACACGG